AUUGAACGCUGGCGGCAUGCCUUACACAUGCAAGUCGAACGGCAGCACGGGAGCAAUCCUGGUGGCGAGUGGCGAACGGGUGAGUAAUAUAUCGGAACGUGCCCAGUCGUGGGGGAUAACGCAGCGAAAGCUGUGCUAAUACCGCAUACGAUCUAAGGAUGAAAGCGGGGGAUCGCAAGACCUUGCGCGAUUGGAGCGGCCGAUAUCAGAUUAGCUAGUUGGUGGGGUAAAGGCCCACCAAGGCGACGAUCUGUAGCUGGUCUGAGAGGACGACCAGCCACACUGGAACUGAGACACGGUCCAGACUCCUACGGGAGGCAGCAGUGGGGAAUUUUGGACAAUGGGCGCAAGCCUGAUCCAGCAAUGCCGCGUGCAGGAUGAAGGCCUUCGGGUUGUAAACUGCUUUUGUACGGAACGAAACGGCCCUUUCUAAUACAGGGGGCUAAUGACGGUACCGCAAGAAUAAGCACCGGCUAACUACGUGCCAGCAGCCGCGGUAACAC
rnacentral:rRNA from 1 species